rnacentral:rRNA from 1 species
GUUGUGGUUAAAAGCUCGUAGUUGAACCUUGGGCCUGGCUGGCCGGUCCGCCUCACCGCGAGUACUGGCUCGGCCGGGCCUUUCCCCCUGUGGAACCCCAUGCCCUUCACUGGGCGUGGCGGGAAAACAGGACUUUUACUUUGAAAAAAUUAGAGUGCUCCAGGCAGGCCUAUGCUCGAAUACAUUAGCAUGGAAUAAUAGAAUAGGACGUGUGGUUCUAUUUUGUUGGUUUCUAGGACCGCCGUAAUGAUUAAUAGGGACAGUCGGGGGCAUCAGUAUUCAAUUGUCAGAGGUGAAAUUCUUGGAUUUAUUGAAGACUAACUACUGCGAAAGCAUUUGCCAAGGAUGUUUUCAUUAAUCAGGAACGAAAGUUAGGGGAUCGAAGACGAUCAGAUACCGUCGUAGUCUUAACCAUAAACUAUGCCGACUAGGGAUCGGACGAUGUUAUUUUUUGACUCGUUCGGCACCUUACGAGAAAUCAAAGUGCUUGGGCUCCAGGGGGAGUAUGGUCGCAAGGCUGAAACUUAAAGAAAUUGACGGAAGGGCACCACCAGGGGUGGAGCCUGCGGCUUAAUUUGACUCAACACGGGGAAACUCACCAGGUCCAGACACAAUGAGGAUUGACAGAUUGAGAGCUCUUUCUUGAUUUUGUGGGUGGUGGUGCAUGGCCGUUCUUAGUUGGUGGAGUGAUUUGUCUGCUUAAUUGCGAUAACGAACGAGACCUUAACCUGCUAAAUAGCCCGUAUUGCUUUGGCAGUACGCUGGCUUCUUAGAGGGACUAUCGGCUCAGCCGAUGGAAGUUUGAGGCAAUAACAGUCUGUGAUGCCCUUAGAUGUUCUGGGGCGCACGCGCGCUA